rnacentral:rRNA from 1 species
AACGAACGUUGGCGGCGUGCUUAACACAUGCAAGUCGAACGAGAACGGUUUCUUCGGAGACCUAGUAAAGUGGCGCACGGGUGAGUAACGCGUAAGUAAUCUACCCUGGUAUCUGGAAUAACUACGGGAAGCUGUAGCUAAUACCGGAUACGUUCUCCUUUCUACGGAUUGGAGAAGAAAGAUGGCCUCUUCUUGAAAGCUAUCGUACUAGGAGGAGCUUGCGUACCAUUAGCUAGUUGGUAGGGUAAUGGCCUACCAAGGCAACGAUGGUUAGCGGGUCUGAGAGGAUGAUCCGCCACACUGGAACUGGAACACGGACCAGACUCCUACGGGAGGCAGCAGUGAGGAAUAUUGCGCAAUGGGGGAAACCCUGACGCAGCGACGCCGCGUGGAUGAUGAAGGCCCUUGGGUCGUAAAAUCCUGUCAGGUGGGAAGAAAUGCAUAUGAAUUAAUACUUCUUAUGUUUGACGGUACCACCAAAGGAAGCACCGGCUAACUCCGUGCCAGCAGCCGCGGUAAUACGGAGGGUGCAAACGUUGUUCGGAAUUACUGGGCGUAAAGCGCGCGUAGGCGGUUUGUUAAGUCAGAUGUGAAAGUCCAUGGCUCAACCAUGGAAGUGCAUUUGAAACUGGCAGACUUGAGUACUGGAGGGGGUGGUGGAAUUCCCGGUGUAGAGGUGAAAUUCGUAGAUAUCGGGAGGAAUACCGGUGGCGAAGGCGACCACCUGGCCAGAUACUGACGCUGAGGUGCGAAAGCGUGGGGAGCAAACAGGAUUAGAUACCCUGGUAGUCCACGCCGUAAACGAUGUCAACUAGGUGUUGGGGCGGUUAAUCGUCUCAUUGCCGGAGCUAACGCAUUAAGUUGACCGCCUGGGGAGUACGGUCGCAAGAUUAAAACUCAAAGGAAUUGACGG